rnacentral:lncRNA from 1 species
AGUCUCCAUCAGCAGAGGCUGUGGCUGGCGAGAAAUUCCCCAGCAGCGAGCACCCGGAAAGAUCCACGACGGGUGACUCCUGGCUUUCUGCCGUAGCUUAUGCUUGGAAAUCUCGGGAUAAAUCAGAGAAGCAGAAGACAAGCGACGGCUGUGUGGUGCCAGUGGAGUAGAGACAAGGGCAGGCAGUGACCCGAGGGCUGUGGAAGAGGCUGAGAAAUGCGGGAAGAUGCAGCUGCAGCUCAAACGUGGCUUCUUCCCUGAGGUGUUUGAACAAAGAACAUUCUGACCACGUUGACUCGGGAUGGCAGAGCUUUCAGCGUUAUUUUCUUUUACAGAAUCCUCGUGAAAUCUUGGUAGAGAAGAAGUCUUGUAGAGGCGGCCCAUGUGGAAAGGUCUUGGAAAAACUAUGUCCAUUGAGUGAGCACAGUACAUGCACCAGCCAGAGCGUGUUCAGGACAGAAACCUAAUUGACAAGACCAGGAUUCAGCUAAAGUACAACCUUUAAAGUACUCUCCAAAUUCGCAGUUUACCCAGCUUCGAAUAAAAUUUCCAUUCCGGUAAGAUACUGAUCCUAUAUCCCUGUACCUGAGCUGCAUACACCCAUCUGGAUACAGUGUUCAGGCUCACGGCGCACACAGUCCAUCCACAAGCGCUGUGAUUUCCAACUGCCGACACAUCUGUCCGUUCAGUGAGUCCUUCCUCCACUGCCACCUGCCUGGGCCACGUUGCCAUCGUCUCUCCAGGGUGCCCUUCUCAUUGGUGCCCACUCUUCACCUCUGCGAUCCUUUGGACCCACAGCAGGAACAGUGAACUUUCAAGGCAGAAAUAAAAUCAUGAGGCUUCCUUAUUCAACACAGUCCCCAGAAUAAGCAGUUUCUUAGCCGGUUUGUCUGCUGUGGUGUCUGUUGCACAGAUGGCUCGGAUCUGAUGUUGCUGUGGCUGUGGUGGAGGCAGCGGCUGUAGCUUGGAUUAGACCCUUAGCCUGGGAACCUCCAUAUGCUGUGGUGCAGCCAUAAAAAUAAACAAACAACCCCCUCCCCCCGGAACUGCAGUGAGAAUCCAAUGCACAUCUACCGGGGCUGCAAAAACCAGAAAGACUGACCGUAGCAAAGAGUGAUGAGGGUGUGGCAGGGCUGGAAUUCUCACCCAGUGCUCGGGGAUGUCAAAUGAUGCAACCACGCUGCAAAGCGAAAGGGCAGUUUCUUAAAAUACUGAACUUAACACCUGCAGAAGGAUCCAGCCGUUCUACUCCUGGACAUUUACCCCAAAGAAAAGAUACGUCCCUAUGAGGACUUGUACCUAUGCUAGUGUUCACAGCAGCUUUCGGUGUAAUAGCCCCACACUGGAAACAACCUAAGUGUCCAUUGGUUGAUGACUGGAUAAGCAAAUGGUGGUAGAUCCGUAAAAUGGGACACUACUCAGCAAAAAAAAUGCUGUGAUCUAUCAAUACAUGCAACAACAUGAGUCGAUCUCAAAAUAAUUACGAUGGAGUCCUGGUUGUGGCUCAGCGGUUAAGGAACCUGACUGGUAUCCGUGAGGAUACAGGUUCGAUCCCUGGCCUCACUCAGUGGGUUAAGGAUCUGGCAUCGCCGUGAGCUCUGGUGUAGGUUGCAGACACAGCUCGGAUUCUGUGUUGCUGUGGUGUAGGUUGGCAGCUGCUGCUCUGAUUCGACCCCUAGCC